rnacentral:lncRNA from 1 species
UUGCAGGAGCCCCUCGGUGCCCACCUGUAGGCCACGCUCACCAGCUGCACCAGAGCUGUGCUUCCAGCACCCAAAAGCUCCCUCCCUGAGCUGCACCCAGGCCUGCUCCCCACUCUCCUCACCAGCUGCACCCGUAUCUCCCACGGCCCACCCAGGGUACUAUCGAUCCUUUAGUCCUCUUCUGCCAGUGUACCCCAUGGCCCGGGACAACCCCUAGUAUGCAAUGGCUCUUUCUUGUGGGCAAUGCAUGGAGGCACACAUCAGGGCCCUGCUUUUAAGAAGGAAGUACUGAGACCUGGGUGCCGCCUCUUCUAGGAGCCAUGGAUGCCGGGGCUUACCCCCAGAGACUGUGAAUUGAAUGGUUAGGAGGGAGCCUGCACACACCGGAGAGCUCUGAGCACCAGGCGAGUCUCCCAUGUGGCCAGGUUGGGAGCCAUCGCUGUUCAUGUGGCCAGGGCUGCCUUGCCAGAGGAACUCAUCUUACUUUGCCACCAUGAAAAUGACCUGUUACGUGAGACAUGCACCAAAGCACGGAGAGGGACAGCCACGAUCCUGCCCGGAACGGGUCUUCAGAACUGGGCAGAGCAUGGCUCCUUUUGAUGGGGGCCCCAGAACUCCUUUUCAAAGGCAAUGGCAGGACGGGAUCCACAGUGGGUGGCCCUUUGAUAAGGAGGCAUCCUCCAGCCAGAGUUGACACCACGUGGACAAGGUCUCAAUGCUGCUUAACACUGUUUUGGGUGCAGAACAAAGAGCGGUUGGAACAUUUCUCGUCUAGUCUCCCCCUCUGUACGUGUCCUGUGUUUCUAGCUUGUUCAAAGUGGUCAAAGACCCAAGGCUGGUCUGGCACAGAAGGGGUCGUGCCUACAUGUAGGGAGGCGCUGACCCUUCUGUCUCCCCUUGUAUGUCCCCAGGGACAGGACAGCCCCCUGCCUGUUGUCCCCAGUGUCCUCUGUGAAUGGGGACCAGCUGUCUUUCAGGUAACUCCCUCCUCCUCCACCUCUGUCCACUCGCUCCGGUAGCCACCCCUUCCACGUGCAGUACGGCUCUGCAUCCCUGAGAGCCUCGAUGACUCC